AACGUAGGAGACGAGCGUUAUCCGGAUUUACUGGGCGUAAAGCGCAUGUAGGCGGUUUCUUAAGUCGGAUGUGAAAGCUCCUGGCUCAACUGGGAGAGGUCAUUCGAAACUGGGAAACUUGAGGGUGGUAGAGGAGAGUGGAAUUCCCGGUGUAGUGGUGAAAUGCGUAGAUAUCGGGAGGAACACCAGUGGCGAAAGCGGCUCUCUGGGCCACAUCUGACGCUGAGAUGCGAAAGCUAGGGGAGAGAACGGG
rnacentral:rRNA from 1 species